AGAGUUUGAUCCUGGCUCAGAUUGAACGCUGGCGGCAGGCCUAACACAUGCAAGUCGAGCGGUAGAGAGAAGCUUGCUUCUCUUGAGAGCGGCGGACGGGUGAGUAAUGCCUAGGAAUCUGCCUGGUAGUGGGGGAUAACGUUCGGAAACGGACGCUAAUACCGCAUACGUCCUACGGGAGAAAGCAGGGGACCUUCGGGCCUUGCGCUAUCAGAUGAGCCUAGGUCGGAUUAGCUAGUUGGUGGGGUAAUGGCUCACCAAGGCGACGAUCCGUAACUGGUCUGAGAGGAUGAUCAGUCACACUGGAACUGAGACACGGUCCAGACUCCUACGGGAGGCAGCAGUGGGGAAUAUUGGACAAUGGGCGAAAGCCUGAUCCAGCCAUGCCGCGUGUGUGAAGAAGGUCUUCGGAUUGUAAAGCACUUUAAGUUGGGAGGAAGGGCAGUAAAUUAAUACUUUGCUGUUUUGACGUUACCGACAGAAUAAGCACCGGCUAACUCUGUGCCAGCAGCCGCGGUAAUACAGAGGGUGCAAGCGUUAAUCGGAAUUACUGGGCGUAAAGCGCGCGUAGGUGGUUAGUUAAGUUGGAUGUGAAAUCCCCGGGCUCAACCUGGGAACUGCAUUCAAAACUGACUGACUAGAGUAUGGUAGAGGGUGGUGGAAUUUCCUGUGUAGCGGUGAAAU
rnacentral:rRNA from 1 species